rnacentral:rRNA from 1 species
GGCCUAAUACAUGCAAGUCGAACGGUGUCUUCGGACAUAGUGGCGCACGGGUGCGUAACACGUAUGCAACCUACCUUACAUUGGGGGAUAGCCUUUCGAAAGGGAGAUUAAUACCGCAUAAGACAGUAGCUGGGCAUCCAGUAGCUGUUAAAGAUUUAUCGAUGUAAGAUGGGCAUGCGUCCAAUUAGUUAGUUGGCGAGGUAAUGGCUCACCAAGACUUUGAUUGGUAGGGGAACUGAGAGGUCAAUCCCCCACACUGGCACUGAGAUACGGGCCAGACUCCUACGGGAGGCAGCAGUAGGGAAUAUUGGGCAAUGGACGCAAGUCUGACCCAGCCAUGCCGCGUGAGUGAAGAAGGCCUUCGGGUUGUAAAGCUC